rnacentral:lncRNA from 1 species
UCCUUUUUUGCUAUUAUUAUUUUAUUUCACUUUUAUCUUUUUGCGUCAAGAAAACCUGAAGAAACAUGCUCUUUUUCCAGCUGCCCAUGGGAGAAUAUGUUUUAGCCUGAGAUGGAAUAAUGGCCUUUGGUUUGAGGACCAAAUCUGGAAUGGGAAUUCAGACCGCCCGCGUCCUGGUAGGCUUCUGGUCGUGACAGAUGAGACAUGAGAUCUUCAGCUUCCAGGCUUUCAAGUUUUUCUUCAAGAGAUUCACUAUGGAAUCGGAUCAUGCCGGACCAGAUCACCGUGUCGGAGUUCAUCGCCGAGACCACAGAGGAUUACAAUUCCCCGACCACCUCCAGCUUCACCACCCGCUUGCAGAACUGCAGAAAUACGGU